AGAGUUUGAUCAUGGCUCAGAACGAACGCUGGCGGCAUGCCUAACACAUGCAAGUCGAGCGAGAACCGGACCUUCGGGUCCGGGGACAGCGGCGAACGGGUGAGUAACACGUGAGUAAUCCACCCUUGGUACCGGGAUAGCCCGAGGAAACUCGGAUUAAUACCGGAUAGCCCGACAGCCUUUCGGGGCGGUCGGAAAAGGUAGCUUCGGCCUCCGACCAAGGACGAGCUCGCGGCGGAUUAGCUUGUUGGCGGGGUAACGGCCCACCAAGGCGACGAUCCGUAGCUGGUCUGAGAGGACGAUCAGCCACACUGGGACUGAGACACGGCCCAGACUCCUACGGGAGGCAGCAGUGGGGAAUAUUGGACAAUGGGCGCAAGCCUGAUCCAGCCAUGCCGCGUGGAUGAUGAAGGCCUUAGGGUUGUAAAGUCCUUUCGGCGGGGAAGAUAAUGACGGUACCCGCAGAAGAAGCCCCGGCUAACUUCGUGCCAGCCGCCGCGGUAAUAC
rnacentral:rRNA from 1 species